UAAGUACUCUCUCCGUCCCAAAAAUUUUGUCUUAGAUUUGUAUAGAUAUGGAUGUAUCUAAUACUAAAAUGUGAUUUGAUACAUCCGUAUUUAGACAAAUCUAAGACAAGAAUUUUAGGACGGAGGAAGUAUUUA
rnacentral:pre_miRNA from 1 species